rnacentral:piRNA from 1 species
UGACCUAGAUACCCUACUUCUUUCCGGA